rnacentral:rRNA from 1 species
CAGCCGCCGGGGAAUACGUAGGGUGCGAGCGUUAAUCGGAAUUACUGGGCGUAAAGCGCACGCAGGCGGUUUGUUAAGUCAGAUGUGAAAUCCCCGAGCUUAACUUGGGAACUGCAUUUGAAACUGGCAAGCUAGAGUCUUGUAGAGGGGGGUAGAAUUCCAGGUGUAGCGGUGAAAUGCGUAGAGAUCUGGAGGAAUACCGGUGGCGAAGGCGGCCCCCUGGACAAAGACUGACGCUCAGGUGCGAAAGCGUGGGGAGCAAACAGGAUUAGAUACCCCUGUAGUCCCUGUCUCUUAUACA